UGCUUCUUGUUCCCGACAGCCGUCCCAGCUAUCUGACUUCAUGUGAAAGAUGGCUAAUGCAGAAGUGAGUGUCCCAGUGGGGGAUGUGGUUGUGGUACCCACUGAAGGAAAUGAAGGGGAGAAUCCUGAAGACACUAAAACCCAAGUGAUUUUGCAGUUACAGCCUGUGCAACAAGGUUUGUUUAUCGAUGGACACUUUUACAACAGGAUUUAUGAAGCUGGGUCGGAGAGCAACACAGCAGUUGUAGCAGUAGAAACUCACACGAUACACAAAAUUGAAGAAGGGAUUGAUACAGGCACUAUAGAAGCAAAUGAGGAUAUGGAAAUUGCUUACCCCAUAACUUGUGGGGAGAGCAAAGCUAUCCUCCUUUGGAAGAAGUUUGUAUGUCCGGGAAUAAACGUGAAGUGUGUCAAGUUCAAUGAUCAAUUGAUCAGCCCCAAGCACUUUGUUCAUCUGGCUGGCAAGUCCACUCUGAAGGAUUGGAAGAGAGCUAUUCGUCUAGGUGGGAUCAUGCUCAGGAAAAUGAUGGACUCCGGACAGAUUGAUUUUUACCAACAUGACAAAGUUUGCUCCAAUACCUGCAGAAGCACCAAAUUUGAUCUUCUGAUCAGCAGUGCAAGAGCUCCAGUGCCAGGACAGCAGACAAGUGUGGUGCAGACACCCACUUCGGCUGAUGGUAGCAUCACGCAGAUUGCCAUCUCAGAAGAGAGCAUGGAAGAGGCAGGGCUGGAAUGGAACUCAGCUCUCACCGCUGCUGUCACCAUGGCCACGGAGGAGGGUGUAAAGAAAGACUCAGAGGAAAUUUCAGAGGACACUUUGAUGUUCUGGAAAGGAAUAGCUGAUGUAGGGCUGAUGGAAGAGGUUGUCUGCAAUAUACAGAAGGAAAUAGAGGAGCUGCUCAGGGGAGUUCAGCAGCGGCUCAUCCAGGCUCCCUUCCAAGUCACAGAUGCUGCUGUUCUCAACAAUGUAGCACACACAUUUGGCCUAAUGGACACAGUCAAGAAGGUUUUAGAUAACAGAAGGAACCAAGUAGAGCAGGGAGAAGAACAGUUUCUCUAUACUCUGACAGACUUGGAACGCCAGUUGGAGGAGCAGAAGAAGCAAGCCCAGGAUCACAGGCUGAAAUCUCAGACAGUUCAAAAUGUGGUACUGAUGCCUGUGAGCACUCCUAAGCCUCCAAAAAGGCCCCGGCUCCAGCGGCCAGCCUCCACCACUGUCUUGAGCCCUUCUCCUCCUGUCCAGCAGCCUCAGUUCACAGUCAUCUCACCCAUCACCAUCACCCCAGUGGGUCAGUCAUUUUCCAUGGGCAAUAUUCCAGUGGCCACCCUCAGCCAGGGCUCCAGUCCUGUGACUGUCCACACACUGCCUUCUGGCCCUCAGCUCUUCCGCUAUGCCACAGUGGUCUCCUCUGCCAAGAGCAGCUCACCAGACACAGUGACCAUCCACCCUUCAUCUAGCUUGGCACUGCUGAGCUCUACUGCCAUGCAGGAUGGGAGUACACUGGGCAACAUGACCACCAUGGUUAGCCCUGUGGAAUUGGUGGCCAUGGAGUCCGGCCUAACCUCGGCAAUUCAGGCUGUUGAAAGCACCUCAGAGGAUGGGCAGACCAUCAUUGAGAUUGAUCCAGCCCCAGACCCAGAAGCUGAAGAUACUGAGGGCAAAGCAGUCAUCUUGGAGACAGAGCUGAGGACUGAGGAGAAAGUUGUGGCUGAGAUGGAAGAACACCAGCAUCAAGUUCACAAUGUGGAGAUUGUGGUCUUAGAGGAUUAACUGGGGAUCUCAGGGCCAGGAGUUAUGUUUUGAUUUGGAAUUUUAAUUAUUUGUUUAUUUUUAUCAUUGUCCCACUCAUUUCCACAUAGGACCCUUUUUUUUAAAAAAAACAAAAUCUUAUUGUUGUAACUGAAAAUGUUGGGUUCUUCCCACUCCCUCAUUGAAAAAUGGACAAAACAAGCUGCCCUUCCAGAAGUUGAGAGUAGGUCAUUCAAUGUCCUAAUCAUCUUACACCAAGAAAGUAAUUUCUUUUAGGGGAAUUGUCAAGAUAACGAGUAACCCUGUCCAG
rnacentral:sRNA from 1 species